GCUCCCUUAGCUCAGCUGGUUAGAGCACCAGACUCUUAAUCUGGGUGUCCUGGGUUCGAGUCCCAGAGGGAGUACCA
rnacentral:tRNA from 1 species